GCAAGUCGAGCGACAGAAAGGAGCUUGCUCCUUUGACGUUAGCGGCGGACGGGUGAGUAACACGUGGGCAACCUACCCUAUAGUUUGGGAUAACUCCGGGAAACCGGGGCUAAUACCGAAUAAUCUCUUUUACUUCAUGGUGAAAGACUGAAAGACGGUUUCGGCUGUCGCUAUAGGAUGGGCCCGCGGCGCAUUAGCUAGUUGGUGAGGUAACGGCUCACCAAGGCGACGAUGCGUAGCCGACCUGAGAGGGUGAUCGGCCACACUGGGACUGAGACACGGCCCAGACUCCUACGGGAGGCAGCAGUAGGGAAUCUUCCACAAUGGGCGAAAGCCUGAUGGAGCAACGCCGCGUGAGUGAAGAAGGUUUUCGGAUCGUAAAACUCUGUUGUAAGGGAAGAACAAGUACAGUAGUAACUGGCUGUACCUUGACGGUACCUUAUUAGAAAGCCACGGCUAACUACGUGCCAGCAGCCGCGGUAAUACGUAGGUGGCAAGCGUUGUCCGGAAUUAUUGGGCGUAAAGCGCGCGCAGGCGGUCCUUUAAGUCUGAUGUGAAAGCCCACGGCUCAACCGUGGAGGGUCAUUGGAAACUGGGGGACUUGAGUGCAGAAGAGGAAAGUGGAAUUCCAAGUGUAGCGGUGAAAUGCGUAGAGAUUUGGAGGAACACCAGUGGCGAAAGCGACUUUCUGGUCUGUAACUGACGCUGAGGCGCGAAAGCGUGGGGAGCAAACAGGGAUUAGAUACCCUGGUAGUCCACGCCGUAAACGAUGAGUGCUUAAGUGGU
rnacentral:rRNA from 1 species